GUGUCAGCCGCCGCGGUAAUACGUAGGCAGCAAGCGUUGUUCGGAGUUACUGGGCGUAAAGAGUAUGUAGGCGGUUAUCUAAGUCUGGCGUGAAAUCUCCCGGCUCAACUGGGAGGCUGCGUUAGAUACUGGAUAGCUUGAGCGUGGGAGAGGAAAGCGGAAUUUCUGGUGUAGCGGUGAAAUGCGUAGAUAUCAGAAGGAACACCUGCGGUGAAGACAGCUUUCUGGACCACAGCUGACGCUGAGAUACGAAAGCGUGGGUAGCAAACAGGAUUAGAAACCCCUGUAGUCC
rnacentral:rRNA from 1 species